rnacentral:lncRNA from 1 species
AAAAAAAUCAAUUGUUAUUCUCAGGAGCUCAUUUUGUGCUUUGAUCACUCUAGCCCCGAUGAUCCAAGAACAAAGCUUAGGAAGCAAAUAACUCCGCUCUAGAGUCGAUUAACCGAAAAGGCCUCCCAUCAUAUGAAAGGUCGUACAGUGCACACGCUAACUCUAGAGCAUGGGACAACACUAACCAUCAGUGACCACACGGCUAACUAGAGAGUAAUUGCAAAAACAACAGGUCAAUAUGUAUCCAUGUCACAUUACACAACUAUGCUCAAAACAACAGGUCAAUAUGUAUCCAUGUCACAUUACACAACUAUGCUCAAACAGUAAAAACGCUCGGAGCAUAAGAUUUUCGGCUCCAUAACCCACAAGUCACCAAGUUUCAGAAGUAAGAGGACGGAUCCAAGAGAUGAAGGUCUCAUCUAGAACAGAAGGAACGGAAUAUUGGAUGGGUAUAAAAGCAGUAACCCACCCUGCAGGGCUCUAGCGUCAAGCUCUCAAAUUCAUUGCUCUGAAAGCCAUACCCCCUCAGUAGUCAUCCGGGUCAUCAGAUGCGUCGCUGAACCCAUCAUCACUCUGUUUGCUGUCAGACUCACUCAUUGCGUAAGGAUCAUACUCUCUCCAUUCUGGAUUUCUCUUCACCCUCUUCUCAAAGAUGCGCAGCUCCUUCGACUGUUCCUCGUCGGCACGUAUCCUCUCCGCACGGUCCCGCUUUUCAAUUUCAUCAUAGAAGGCAAUAUUUAUAUUGUCUAGACUAAUCCCAUUGACUACCAGAACACUUAGCAGCUUAUCGAUUCUUCCAUCACCCUCUGAACAUUGUAUGACAACACUUUCAAGGAGUGGACACUGGAAGGUCAUCCCGUCAAUUGGCAUGCAAUCUAUUUCCGCUCCUUCAUCAAGC